GGCCGAAGACAGCAGGUGCUGAUAAGCGUAAGCAACGAUAGUUCGCCUGCCGAGGAGAAUACGAGUAAUUCAUAAUUGUAUUAUUAUGACCUAUACCCGUUCCGUCUUCGGAGCGGGAUUUUUUAUAU
rnacentral:sRNA from 1 species